GAAUUCUUACUUUCCCACAAUGCCUCAAUACGAUUUGGACAUGAUUAAGAAAACGUUGGAGGCAUCAAAACAAGAUGGAGAUGUAAUAUUCUACAGAUGUCCUAAUGGUCAUCUCUAUGGUAUUGGUGAUAGUGGAAGUCCAGUAUAUGCAGCCAUAUGUUGCUGUGGAAAAGAAAUUGGAGGGACAUGUUAUAAGCUAAACGAAGGGAAUAUCAGGGAUCAUGGGUAUUUUAAAUUAAUAGAACUCCUUCCGUUCUGCUUUCCGUCUUGGCAAUAGGUGUUUAAGAGAUAAUAAUAGGUUAAUAUAUUCAACAUACAAUGAUAAAAAAUCAUGAAUUACUGACGGAAUUUUAUUGAAUAAUUAGAAGUAAUUAGAAUUGCUUGUUUCAAAUUAAUAUGUAACCACAUAUAAAU